UGAGCCUUCCUGUUCGGACUGCCAGUCCUUCUCCGACCUGCCAGGCUCCAAAAGGUUGUCCUGAAGAGACUGGAAGUAGGCUCCCUGGUUACCCUACCCGUUGGCUUCUUGGAGAAAGGACAGAAAGGAGAAGCACCUACAGCAGCUGUAGAAGAAAGCCUGAGAACCUGAUCAGGGUGUACCCUGAAGCCUUGAAACCAGAAAUCAAAUAAGAUCUGGAAUGGUUUAUGUCAUGAUUUUUAGGACUAAUUCAUUGUGUGUUGAAAGCAGACGUGUUAUCAUUACCUGUACCUACAGCAAGCAUUGUAUCCUUAUGGAAAUUGAAUUGUUUGGGACCCAUCUGAACAUGACACUGUCCUCUGAACAAGCUGGAUGCCUCCCUAUCUUCCCCUAGGCAUCUAACCAUGAUUGGAAUAUCUGGGAGAAGGAACCUGCUUCCAGAGGCAAAGUCAUCAAUUUCACUAAUCAAGUUAAUUAAAAUAGUAAUUUGUGACUGAGUUAGGCUUCUGUUUUUAGUACUAUUACUACAGAAUCACAGAAUGGCCAAGCUUGGAAGGGACCUCUGAAGAUCAUCUAGGCCGACCUCCCUGCCAAGCAGGAUCACCCAGAGCACAUUGCACAGGAUGCAUCCAGGCGAGUUUUGAAUAUCUCCAGAGAAAGAGACUCCACGAACUCUCUGGGCAACGUCCUCCAGUGCUCUGUUACCCUCAUGGUAAAGAAGUGCCCCCUCAUGUUCAGCCAGAACUUCCUGUAGAAUUUUUUUAGACCAUAUACUCAAUUUUUUUUUCCUCCCACACUGAUACUUACAGAUUUUCUCCAAGUGGGUAUUAUGUGUGAGACUGGAUUUGAUGAACAACAAAGGAUACUGAAGCUGGGUGUUACCCAAGUCCAAAACUAAUGUGCAUUUUUUUUGAAUUAUGAAAUAUGUACUUACUAAUUAUUGUCUGUAUUAUUUUGAGUGUAUAUGGCAGUGUACAGUCAUGUGAGUUGCACCAAAGCUGACUGUUGCAGCUUCUCUGAACCUGUUUCGUGGGAGGAGCUUGGGUACGUUUGUUUGCUGUUCAAAGGCAAUUGAAGGCUUGAAUUCAAAGGCAUUGCUCAGCAUGGCCACGGGAGGGCACUAGAAAAAAGAAAAUGGGCAAAAAACCAAUGGCAUCAGCUCUGCUUGCCCUCAGUAACAAGAACAAAUGAAGGUCCAACAGGUCACAGGCCAUUUCUGUAUAAAAGGGAAACCAAAACUGAGAGGUCCUGCCGGCGCCAAGGUGUGAAGCCUGCCAAGCACCAAGGAGCAGAGAAAGGGCUGGAGGUACCCAAAGGAUGAGCUGGGGAUGCACCAAGUGGAAUGGGGGCAGAGACCACGAAGUGCAGCUCUGGCUGAGCCCACAGCUAGACAAAUGCGCACAAGUGACUGGAAAGACCGUGUUCAUGCUCCAUACAAAGGCUACAAAAGAGAAAGAGAGGACAGGGCUGAAUAAAGAGACUGGCUUUUUCCAAAGCACUUCCCCACUAUGUAUCUCGUUUCACAGAGACUUGGGCUAUCUUGAUAAAAAGACAUCCAGUGGCCCUAUCAAACUUUCAGUGUAGUGAGUUGUAUCUGAGAAUGGAACUCAAUUUUUCACUGAUCUUCUCAGAGUUCUGGAGACAGCAUGUGCUCACUCACCAGACACCAAACAGCAUGCAUAAGUGGUCAUUGGAACUUGACUUGCGGUCUGCAACCAAACUCUUCAUUCUCUCCAUCAGUCCAGACCAGCUUGGUCUACACAAGGACACGCUAUACUGAAAGUAAAGAUAGCCACUGAACUAACUUGGCCAGUGGGCCCGCUGGUUAUCAUUAACUUGCUCCCUGGCUCAGGUCAGCUCUAACCAUGCCCAAGAGAAGCUGGGGGCACAACUCCCUUCAGUGACUUCAUGCACAGAAGCAGUAUUGAUGAAACUGCUCCUUUCAUCGCACAUCAUCUCCUGUACACCUCACUGGAUUCGUGGCAUAAAUCAGCUAUCUGCAAAAUCACACUUAGAAAGCAUCACAGGAGUGGGCUACAACAGCACACAGGCAUUAUUUUAAAAAGCUUUGAAUUGCAAAAAAUACAUACCAAGUUAAUUAUCAAAAUAGUAAUAAGAAUGCCUGCCCUCUUGGCUCCCAGUCAUAGAGUCAUAUGGGACCAAGAGGAGUAAAUGCAAUUUUAUUCCAAGCCUCUGAAGCUCACUGUGGUCAUAUAAGAACAGCAGGAUUUGGCCCUCCAGGGUCAUCACUGUUAUUACUUAGAUUACAGUAGCACAGAGCAACACCACAGAGCUGCCACCCGUCUGCUCAUGAUGGGGCUCCCCUGGCCUUAAGAGCUUACAGUCUAAGUAAGACCAGGUAGACAAGUGGAGUGAGAAAGAAAGCACUUUUAUUAGGCUCAAGAGAUUAAGAAACUUGCCCAAGGACACAUACAAAGCCUUUGACAGAUCCAGGAGUUUAACCUAGAUUUCAGCAUGGCUCCUUGAUGGUAAACACCUAUCUUCUCCCAACUUCUGAGUAUCUCUUCAGCUGGGAUUUAAAGUAUACUCUGUGUCCAUAAAGCAUCACCAGAGAUGCUCUCGUAUAGCAUAAGAUUAUUCUGACAGCCUUUGCAUGAAGAGAGAUCACUUUUUUUGCCAACUAAGUCGGAAGAACACAGAUGGAUGAACAAAGUCAGUGGCAGGUGAAAGCCUUUAAUUCGAGGGCAGACUAUUGCUUCACCAGCUAAACUAAAAAAACACACAGUACAAAAAUCCACUUGACAGAAACGUUACUCAUUAACAUUCCUUCUAUAUCUACCACGAAUGAUUUCUUCAGAGUGCCCACGUGAAUCCGACAGGACACUGCCUCCCCUUGCAAGCUCCCCACAGGGUACCUCAAGGAAAUGAUGACCUCUAAUGGUAAAUAACUCAUUUUCCAACACAUUUUUUUGGCCGCAGGUCCCUCAGCCGAGGGCUGGGCUCCCCCCGCGCUCAGCCCCAGCUCCCCCUGCCCAGCCACCGCCGUUCAGCCCACACCUUCCUACCUGUAGUAGCGACGGAGUAAAAGCCCAAACUGGCCUCAUCCCCUGCCAUAAAGCCCCGGGGAGCAGCAGAGGUGGCUCAGAGCCGCCCCUACAAGCCCAGCCCGGCCCCACAGGGACCUAC